CCUCAGCUGGCUGGCUGGCCCCCAGGUUGGGCUGGGAGAGAAUCUCUUUGAAAGGCUCACCCUCAAGCAUUACUAGGAGC
rnacentral:pre_miRNA from 1 species